rnacentral:rRNA from 1 species
ACUCAAAUGAAUUGACGGGGGCCCGCACAAGCAGCGGAGCGUGUGGUUUAAUUCGAUGAUACACGAAGAACCUUACCAGGGUUUGACAUGUGCGUUGUAGGGAAGCGAAAGCGGACCGACCCUUCGGGGAGCGCACACAGGUGCUGCAUGGCUGUCGUCAGCUCGUGCCGUGAGGUGUUAGGUUAAGUCCUAUAACGAGCGCAGCCCUUACUGCCAGUUACACGUGUCUGGCGGGACUGCCGGUCAUAAGCCGGAGGAAGGUGGGGAUGACGUCAAGUCAGCAUGGCCUUUAUAUCCUGGGCUACACACACGCUACAAUGGCUGGGACAAUGGGCCGCUAAGCCGCGAGGCGGAGCCAAUCCCCCAAACCCAGCCUCAGUUCGGAUUGUAGGCUGCAACCCGCCUACAUGAAGUUGGAGUUGCUAGUAAACGCGCGUCAGCCAUAGUGCGUUGAAUACGUUCCCGGGCCUUGUACACACCGCCCGU